rnacentral:misc_RNA from 1 species
UUGCUACUGCUGGUGCGAUUACGCAUGAUGAUCACCGUUAUGUCGUUGUAUACGUUGCAAACCAUGUAUGUUUAAUGUCCGUUAAAUAUUUUAAUUUGUUUUGUGUCGUUGAAAUACGAUUUGGUGAUUAUUAGUGAAUUUUGUGAUUUUUUUUUAAUUUAAAAUAGACUAUUAGUUCGUACAUCACCACUGAUUACGUUUUAUUUCUGUGAAUAUGAGUACUCAGUAUCAAGCAUUAUUUGCAUGUUCCAAAUGUUUUUCACGACAUCCUUUCGAAGAUCUAUCACCAGGUCAGCAGCUUUGCAAAGAAUGUCGUGGAGCAUUUCCAGUGGUGAAAUGCACAUAUUGUCGAUCCGAAUUUCAACAAACUACCAAAGGAAAUACAAGCACAAUAUGUAAAAAGUGUGAACAAAAUGUGAAAGCUUACGGCAAGCCAACUGCCUGUGAAUAUUGCAAUAUAAUUGCAGCGUUUAUAGGCAACAAGUGCCAACGUUGUACUAAUUCUGAAAUAAAGUAUGGACCCCCCGUCAACUGUGAGCAGUGCAAACAAAAGUGUGCUUUUGAUAGACAUGAUGAUGACAAAAAGGUAGAUGGGAAGUUGUUGUGUUGGUUGUGUACACUUUCAUUUAAACGGGCUUUGGCGAAAACCAAACAGGGCGAUGCAGAAAGACGAGCACAUUUAAAAAUGUCACAUCUAAGACAGUCAAAGGAUAACCAUAAAGAGAAAUUACGAAGCCACAGUAAAAGGCCUCGAAGGGCAGAUGUUACCAAAGUUCCCGUAGAAACAGAGAAUGGACCCCAAAAUAAAGUAGCCCGAAAUAAUUCCGGUCCUAACUUAGCUAGAGCUGAGUUAGACCCAACUAGUUCGGAUCAUGUAGUUGCUAUGACACAACUCAAAGAACAAAUUGCUAGUUUACAAAAGCAGCUGAGCGUUAAAGACGCCCAACUACUUAGUAAAGAUAAACAGAUAACAGAACUUAAAGCCAAACAUUUCACAAUCGAAACUGAAUUAAGAAAUAAAAUGAAAACUGCUCAGAAAGAGCACGACGACAAAUGCGAUACGUUAAGUAUCAAAAUCCAGACGUUGCUGAAGGAAAUCGCUAGUCUAUCAAAGAUAACAAAGAAGGAGCGAUUGGCAGCUACCCGUGAGAAUGCUAACAGUGGCAGUGGAACUGACAGCCCACUGACACAGUAAAAAUUUAAUAGUUGUAGUAAGUAACUACAAUUGGACGUGCAAACAUGUAUUGUUGAAUACGCAGGACAAGUGGGAAUUAAUAUAAAAUAACUGCCUGCAUUGUAGCGACGGUCUUUUCCAGGGAAUCCUUCAACGAAUACUUGCUCUUAUGCAUCCACGCCAAAAACAAGGCUGCAAAAAGGUCC